GGCAGUGGCGGCGUGCUAUACAUGCAGUCGAACGAACUCUGGUAUUGAUUGGUGCUUGCAUCAUGAUUUACAUUUGAGUGAGUGGCGAACUGGUGAGUAACACGUGGGAAACCUGCCCAGAAGCGGGGGAUAACACCUGGAAACAGAUGCUAAUACCGCAUAACAACUUGGACCGCAUGGUCCGAGUUUGAAAGAUGGCUUCGGCUAUCACUUUUGGAUGGUCCCGCGGCGUAUUAGCUAGAUGGUGGGGUAACGGCUCACCAUGGCAAUGAUACGUAGCCGACCUGAGAGGGUAAUCGGCCACAUUGGGACUGAGACACGGCCCAAACUCCUACGGGAGGCAGCAGUAGGGAAUCUUCCACAAUGGACGAAAGUCUGAUGGAGCAACGCCGCGUGAGUGAAGAAGGGUUUCGGCUCGUAAAACUCUGUUGUUAAAGAAGAACAUAUCUGAGAGUAACUGUUCAGGUAUUGACGGUAUUUAACCAGAAAGCCACGGCUAACUACGUGCCAGCAGCCGCGGUAAUACGUAGGUGGCAAGCGUUGUCCGGAUUUAUUGGGCGUAAAGCGAGCGCAGGCGGUUUUUUAAGUCUGAUGUGAAAGCCUUCGGCUCAACCGAAGAAGUGCAUCGGAAACUGGGAAACUUGAGUGCAGAAGAGGACAGUGGAACUCCAUGUGUAGCGGUGAAAUGCGUAGAUAUAUGGAAGAACACCAGUGGCGAAGCGGCUGUCUGGUCUGUAACUGACGCUGAG
rnacentral:rRNA from 1 species